AGGUACUGGGGUUUUUGGUUUCUUUUUAGUUGUGGGUUGGGUUCCUUUUCUUUGUGUCAACCGCUAGAGGGUGCCAGAAGCUGCCGUCCCGGAGGGGUGUGUCGGAUUCCCGACACACCGGUUGCUGAUCACUCAUCUGCUCGGCUGUUCAAGAGGAGCUGACCGACACUCAUUCAACGCCUGAGUGUUAACCUGCAAUGGUGCUGCACUGGAAACGUGAAGUUCCCUUCCGAGAACUUAUUCCGCUUGUUCUUACCUGUCCGCCCUCCGCCGCCGUCUACUACCUCUGGACCCUUGGAACCUCAAAAUACCCACUCGAAGAUCCUCCCCGAUCCUACGGCCCGGAACUCCCCCCCCAGCUCGUAAUCCACCUCGCCACAAUGUGUCAGCAGACCGCGAGCCGCUCCCUGGGAGACGCUUCCCGCCCGCGAUACAUCACCCUUUUUUCUUUGUAAAAUAAACCUUUAACGGAA